rnacentral:rRNA from 1 species
GACGAACCGUGCUAACGUUGUUCGGAAUCACUGGGCUUAAAGGGCGCGUAGGCGGUCCAUAAAGUCAGGGGUGAAAUCUUUCAGCUUAACUGGAAAAGUGCCUUUGAUACUGAUGGACUCGAGCGAGGUAGGGGCAGAUGGAACUCCGGGUGGAGCGGUGAAAUGUGUAGAUAUCCGGAGGAACGCCGGUGGCGAAAGCGAUCUGCUGGACCUCUUCUGACGCUGAGGCGCGAAAGCCAGGGGAGCAAACGGG